GGGUUGUGAGGUUAAGCGACUAAGCGUACACGGUGGAUGCCCUGGCAGUCAGAGGCGAUGAAGGGCGUGCUAAUCUGCGAUAAGCGCCGGUAAGGUGAUAUGAACCGUUAUAACCGGCGAUACCCGAAUGGGGAAACCCAGUGUGAUUCGUCACACUAUCAUUACGUGAAUACAUAGCGUAAUGAAGCGAACCGGGGGAACUGAAACAUCUAAGUAC
rnacentral:rRNA from 1 species